CAUCCUCCAAGGCUAAAUACUCCUGACUGACCGAUAGUGAACCAGUACCGUGAGGGAAAGGCGAAAAGAACCCCGGCGAGGGGAGUGAAAAAGAACCUGAAACCGUGUACGUACAAGCAGUGGGAGCACAGGUUUACCUGUGUGACUGCGUACCUUUUGUAUAAUGGGUCAGCGACUUAUAUUCUGUAGCAAGGUUAACCGUAUAGGGGAGCCGUAGGGAAACCGAGUCUUAACCGGGCGUUAAGUUGCAGGGUAUAGACCCGAAACCCGGUGAUCUAGCCAUGGGCAGGUUGAAGGUUGGGUAACACUAACUGGAGGACCGAACCGACUAAUGUUGAAAAAUUAGCGGAUGACCUGUGGCUGGGGGUGAAAGGCCAAUCAAACCGGGAGAUAGCUGGUUCUCCCCGAAAGCUAUUUAGGUAGCGCCUCGUGAACUCAUCUCCGGGGGUAGAGCACUGUUUCGGCUAGGGGGCCAUCCCGGCUUACCAACCCGAUGCAAACUGCGAAUACCGGAGAAUGUUAUCACGGGAGACACACGGCGGGUGCUAACGUCCGUCGUGAAGAGGGAAACAACCCAGACCGCCAGCUAAGGUCCCAAAGUCAUGGUUAAGUGGGAAACGAUGUGGGAAGGCCCAGACAGCCAGGAUGUUGGCUUAGAAGCAGCCAUCAUUUAAAGAAAGCGUAAUAGCUCACUGGUCGAGUCGGCCUGCGCGGAAGAUGUAACGGGGCUAAACCAUGCACCGAAGCUGCGGCAGCGAC
rnacentral:rRNA from 1 species